rnacentral:lncRNA from 11 species
UGCUAUGUUCCAACACCAGCUGAGAUCCUGGAACAAGGGGAUGUAGCAUAAAGUUCUACAGAGCAGAGAUAGCUGGAUGCUUCUUUGCCAUUCCUCCAUUGCUUUCCAUGGACCAAUAAAUGGUUAUGUUUACCAGCAACAGAUAAAAGGGAAAGAAGAAAGACUACAGCUAAACAGGAUGGCAAUUUCAAAACAAUCUACAAUACAAUCCAGGCAAUUUCUUCAAUAAUUAGGAGAACGCAAACAAAUAGCUCUGGGGGAUGUUGCCUUACUGUGAGUCAGACUAAUUACCCCAUUAUUGUCAAUAUCAACUAACUUCUCCAGAAGGUUUGGGGGGAUUGUACCAGGACUUUCUUUCAACGCCACAGCAACACAGUGCUGUCUGGAAGGCCAGCCACAAGCCUAAAAGUCUAGAUUUUAUGUAAAAUUGGAGGGUAUAGGGCAAGGGUUGUUUGCACUGUUGAAUUUCAUUACAACAGAAUAAUAAAAAAACUGUGUGUCAGGAUUGUAAUGCUUA